CCUACGGGAGGCAGCAGUGAGGAAUAUUGCGCAAUGGGCGAAAGCCAGACGCAGCAACGCCGCGUGGGCGAUGAAGGUCUUCGGAUCGUAAAGCCCUUUUCUAGAGGAAGAGGAAGGACAGUACUCUAGGAAUAAGUCUCGGCUAACUACGUGCCAGCAGCCGCGGUAAAACGUAGGAGACUAGCGUUAUCCGGAUUUAUUGGGCGUAAAGCGCGCGCAGGCGGCGUCUCAAGUCGGAUGUGAAAUCUCCUGGCCUAACUGGGAGGCUGCGUUCGAAACUGAGGCGCUUGAGGUCAGUAGGGGGGAGUGGAAUUCCCGGUGUAGUGGUAAAAUGCGUAGAUAUCGGGAGGAACACCAGUGGCGAAGGCGGCUCCCUGGACUGCACCUGACGCUGAGGCGCGAAAGCGUGGGGAGCGAACGGGAUUAGAUACCCCGGUAGUCCACGCUGUAAACGAUGGAUGCUAGGUGUCGGUGGUAUUGACCCCAUCGGUGCCGAAGCCAACGCGUUAAGCAUCCCGCCUGGGGACUACGGCCGCAAGGUUAAAACUUAAAGGAAUUGACGG
rnacentral:rRNA from 1 species